CUGAAAUCCCUCAGGAUUUUGUCAAUGGCACUGUUGGCCAGUCCGUGCUCCUACCUGUCUCCUACAAAUUUAUGAAUCCCUCUCACUUCCCACUGCCAUUUGAAUGGACAUUCCAUAACCGCUCUGAGCCAAUUGCCUCCUGCACGGUGAUGAACUGCUCCCUGAGUGCUGAGGGGGCUCCCAAGAACUGCUCUGAAAACCAUUUCACACAUGCCGCAUACCAAGGUCGUGCUGUGCUUUUCGCUGAGAACGCAUCCCUGCUGCUCCGGGACCUGCAGCUCAGUGACAGCGGGGUGUACAACAUCACCUUCAAACAGCAGCUYCAAACCAGGCAGAUCACCUUAACUGUGUACAACCCUCAUUUCAGCCUUAAAAAUCCAGGUGCAGUUCAACAGAAGAAAACGAGAAUCAUUAGACAACAAGAGGUCUCAAAUGCUGAGUCGUCUCCCAUGGAAAGUACCAUGAUGAGGGAUGGAGCAACUAUUUAUGCCAGAGUUGGAGACAGCUUUGAACAGCCACAGCCGAGAACAACACCAGAAGUUGUGUACAUGUCCGUAACCUUCUCUGAUCCAUCAGGACCGGAUUGCCCACUGUCGUCUUGUGCAGCGACUGUGGAUCUGCCUCAAGAGGGAGUCUUGAACUUUGCUAAAUAUAGUCCUGUUUCAAAGUGAAGAGGAUAUUUUUGUCACUGACUCUCUCUGCUGAUGUGACCCUCAGUGCUCUUACUCCAGCAGCUCUUAGUCUGCACACUGAGUGCAGGCUGUAGAGGAUUUGGAGCUACCGAGUAUGGAAAUGCCUUAGUUUGCCUCGAUUUGCAGUCUCUCUUGAAUUUGAGGAAUGAGUUGGUUUUAGUUUCUUCUUGAUACUUCCCGAGAGUACAAAGACACACAGCGUAAGAGAAAGAUUCAUAAGGCAAAAGCAGAUCAACAAUUUGGUCCAUGGGAACCUUACUUCCAUAGACUCACCUUAACUGGAGGGGUAACAGACAACAGUAAAUGGAUCUUAAUCAUGUGUCCCAGGUUCACUGCCAACGGUCUUGUCAUAUUAAAAGAAUAGAUGAAGAUUAUUUGGACUGAAAAGUUGUCCUUAUUUUUUGGAGCGUUCCAAGUAAUUGUGGUGUGUAUUCUUCCUGCAAUGAGAUUAGCUUAACCUUAGGAUCCCAG
rnacentral:lncRNA from 1 species